GAUCACCGUGAAUUCGAGACACUCUGGUUCCGAUUAUACAGAAAUGAUUGAGUUUUUAUGAUCAGUUAAAAAAAAAAUGAAAAUUUUGCGAAAAAUUCACGUUACGAAUCGUCAAAUGUUACGUGGACAUUUAAUUAUUGAAGCCUGGUAUAGAUCAACAGUCAAAUCUGAUGAAUUAUUAUCAAUUUCAUAAAGAAUAUUCGGAAGGUGUAAGGUUAAAUCACAAGUCAAUAUUGGUAGAUGUUUGUCAUGCGCUAUAUGUUGCACGAAUGUACCUAAGUAAUCUGUAAUACUAUGGAUCAAGUAAAUCGAUGUAUAAUAAACUUCUGCGAAGGAACAAUUACUUCAAACCGGCUAUAGGUACUAUAUUAGUAAUAUACUAAUCUUAUCUUAAUUUCAGGAUUAUCUACGACUGGUGUUGCAGUUUUAUUUUGUGGAGAUCAACAACUUACAUUGCAGAUAUCGAUUUUAACUGAUAUGUUGGAUGGAUAGUUAUUUGAACAUCUAGAAUGCAAUUUAUGAUUACUCAGCUGCAACAUGAGAGACUACGACACUCAUUCUACACAUUCAUCUCUCCAGUGACAAAAGUGCUUAUCUGAGGGUCAGAUGACCAGUUACAAUAUAAACAUAAAAUAUUUGUGAAAUCUUUAGAAUUUUCUAUGAUAUAAGUCUUUAAGCCGGGCAUAUACUGACAACCGUGAUUGUCAACCUUUAUCGGUUCAAUAAGAGUAUAGGGGAAAAGUUUGUGGACUAUUUAGGUCCAACUAAUUUUAACUCAUUGCCGCUGUACUUAAAAAAAUAUAUUUAUAGUAAUGUAAAUAAGAAUAAUUAUAUAACUAAUAAAAAAGUUAUUGUUAACUAUUUGUUACUUGAACUAUAGUUGUAUAUUAUCUAGAAUUUAAGUAUUUUAAUAUUGUUUGAAAUAACAAUUUCAGAUUA
rnacentral:lncRNA from 1 species